rnacentral:rRNA from 1 species
UACGGGGGGAGCAAGCGUUGUUCGGAUUUACUGGGCGUAAAGGGCGCGUAGGCGGGAUGGCAAGUCGGUCGUGAAAUCCCUGGGCUCAACUCAGGGGGGUCGGCCGAUACUGCCAUUCUUGAGGGAUGCAGAGGAGACUGGAAUUCCCGGUGUAGCGGUGAAAUGUGUAGAGAUCGGGAGGAACACCGGUGGCGAAGGCGGGUCUCUGGGCAUUCCCUGACGCUGAGGCGCGAAAGCGUGGGGAGCAAACGGG